rnacentral:tRNA from 1 species
NGGUUGCUAACUCAAUGGUAGAGUACUCGGCUUUUAA